rnacentral:rRNA from 1 species
AGGGUUUGAUUCUGGCUCAGGAUGAACGCUAGCGACAGGCUUAACACAUGCAAGUCGAGGGGCAGCACGAGGUAGCAAUACUUUGGUGGCGACCGGCGCACGGGUGAGUAACGCGUAUGCAACUUACCUAUCAGAGCAGGAUAGCCCGGCGAAAGUCGGAUUAAUACUGCAUAAAACAGGGGCUCCGCAUGGAGCUAUUUGUUAAAGAUUUAUCGCUGAUAGAUAGGCAUGCGUUCCAUUAGGCAGUUGGCGGGGUAACGGCCCACCAAACCGACGAUGGAUAGGGGUUCUGAGAGGAAGGUCCCCCACAUUGGUACUGAGACACGGACCAA